AUCUGAUUGAGAUUUUAUAACAAUGGCUUUAGUGGCGGACUGGUGAGUAACGCGUGAGCAACCUGCCUACUAGAGGGGAAUAACAGUGAGAAAUCAUUGCUAAUACCGCAUAUGCCAUGAACAUCACAUGAUGAAAAUGGGAAAAGAGUAAUCUGCUAGUAGAUGGGCUCGCGUCUGAUUAGAUAGUUGGUGGGGUAACGGCCUACCAAGUCAACGAUCAGUAGCCGGACUGAGAGGUUGAACGGCCACAUUGGGACUGAGAUACGGCCCAGACUCCUACGGGAGGCAGCAGUCGGGAAUAUUGCGCAAUGGAGGAAACUCUGACGCAGUGACGCCGCGUAUAGGAAGAAGGUUUUCGGAUUGUAAACUAUUGUCGUUAGGGAAGAUACAAGACAGUACCUAAGGAGGAAGCUCCGGCUAACUACGUGCCAGCAGCCGCGGUAAUACGUAGGGAGCAAGCGUUAUCCGGAUUUAUUGGGUGUAAAGGGUGCGUAGACGGGACAACAAGUUAGUUGUGAAAUCCCUCGGCUUAACUGAGGAACUGCAACUAAAACUAUUGUUCUUGAGUGUUGGAGAGGAAAGUGGAAUUCCUAGUGUAGCGGUGAAAUGCGUAGAUAUUAGGAGGAACACCGGUGGCGAAGGCGACUUUCUGGACAAUAACUGACGUUGAGGCACGAAAGUGUGGGGAGCAAACAGGAUUAGAUACCCUGGUAGUCCACACCGUAAACGAUGGAUACUAGGUGUAGGAAAUGAUUUCAUUUUCUGUGCCGUCGCAA
rnacentral:rRNA from 1 species